CCUACGGGGGGCAGCAGUGAGGAAUAUUGGUCAAUGGACGAGAGUCUGGCGCAGCGACGCCGCGUGAGGGAUGAAGGUCUUCGGAUCGUAAACCUCUGUCAGCAGGGAAGAACGGUCACUGUGCUAAUCAGCAGUGAAUUGACGGUACCUGCAAAGGAAGCACCGGCUAACUCCGUGCCAGCCGCCGCGGUAAUACGGAGGGUGCGAGCGUUAAUCGGAAUUACUGGGCGUAAAGCGCUCGUAGGCGGUAUGUCAAGUCAAGGGUGAAAUCCCCGCGCUCAACGUGGGAACUGCCUUUGAAACUGGCAAACUGGAGUGUGUGAGAGGAUAGUGGAAUUCCAGGUGUAGGAGUGAAAUCCGUAGAUAUCUGGAGGAACAUCAGUGGCGAAGGCGACUAUCUGGCACAUAACUGACGCUGAGGAGCGAAAGCGUGGGUAGCAAACAGGAUUAGAUACCCGUGUAGUC
rnacentral:rRNA from 1 species